AUUGAACGCUGGCGUCAUGCCUUACACAUGCAAGUCGAACGGCAGCACGGGUGCUUGCACCUGGUGGCGAGUGGCGAACGGGUGAGUAAUACAUCGGAACGUGUCCUGUAGUGGGGGAUAGCCCGGCGAAAGCCGGAUUAAUACCGCAUACGAUCUACGGAUGAAAGCGGGGGACCUUCGGGCCUCGCGCUAUAGGGUUGGCCGAUGGCUGAUUAGCUAGUUGGUGGGGUAAAGGCCUACCAAGGCGACGAUCAGUAGCUGGUCUGAGAGGACGACCAGCCACACUGGGACUGAGACACGGCCCAGACUCCUACGGGAGGCAGCAGUGGGGAAUUUUGGACAAUGGGCGAAAGCCUGAUCCAGCAAUGCCGCGUGUGUGAAGAAGGCCUUCGGGUUGUAAAGCACUUUUGUCCGGAAAGAAAUCCUUGGCUCUAAUACAGUCGGGGGAUGACGGUACCGGAAGAAUAAGCACCGGCUAACUACGUGCCAGCAGCCGCGGUAAUACGUAGGGUGCGAGCGUUAAUCGGAAUUACUGGGCGUAAAGCGUGCGCAGGCGGUUUGCUAAGACCGAUGUGAAAUCCCCGGGCUCAACCUGGGAACUGCAUUGGUGACUGGCAGGCUAGAGUAUGGCAGAGGGGGGUAGAAUUCCACGUGUAGCAGUGAAAUGCGUAGAGAUGUGGAGGAAUACCGAUGGCGAAGGCAGCCCCCUGGGCCAAUACUGACGCUCAUGCACGAAAGCGUGGGGAGCAAACAGGAUUAGAUACCCUGGUAGUCCACGCCCUAAACGAUGUCAACUAGUUGUUGGGGAUUCAUUUCCUUAGUAACGUAGCUAACGCGUGAAGUUGACCGCCUGGGGAGUACGGUCGCAAGAUUAAAACUCAAAGGAAUUGACGGGGACCCGCACAAGCGGUGGAUGAUGUGGAUUAAUUCGAUGCAACGCGAAAAACCUUACCUACCCUUGACAUGGUCGGAAUCCCGCUGAGAGGUGGGAGUGCUCGAAAGAGAACCGGCGCACAGGUGCUGCAUGGCUGUCGUCAGCUCGUGUCGCGAGAUGUUGGGUUAAGUCCCGCAACGAGCGCAACCCUUGUCCUUUGUUGCUACGCAAGAGCACUCUAAGGAGACUGCCGGUGACAAACCGGAGGAAGGUGGGGAUGACGUCAAGUCCUCAUGGCCCUUAUGGGUAGGGCUUCACACGUCAUACAAUGGUCGGAACAGAGGGUUGCCAACCCGCGAGGGGGAGCUAAUCCCAGAAAACCGAUCGUAGUCCGGAUUGCACUCUGCAACUCGAGUGCAUGAAGCUGGAAUCGCUAGUAAUCGCGGAUCAGCAUGCCGCGGUGAAUACGUUCCCGGGUCU
rnacentral:rRNA from 1 species